AUUGAACGCUGGCGGCAGGCUUAACACAUGCAAGUCGAGCGAGCGGCGGACGGGUGAGUAAUGUCUGGGCAACUGCCUGAUGGAGGGGGAUAACUACUGGAAACGGUGGCUAAUACCGCAUACCAUCAGAUGUGCCCAGAUGGGAUUAGCUAGUAGGUGGGGUAAUGGCUCACCUAGGCGACGAUCCCUAGCUGGUCUGAGAGGAUGACCAGCCACACUGGGACUGAGACACGGCCCAGACUCCUACGGGAGGCAGCAGUGGGGAAUAUUUCACAAUGGGCGCAAGCCUGAUGGAGCCAUGCCGCGUGUGUGAAGAAGGCCUUCGGGUUGUAAAGCACUUUCAGCGGGGAGGCGUUACUCGCAGAAGAAGCACCGGCUAACUCCGUGCCAGCAGCCGCGGUAAUAC
rnacentral:rRNA from 1 species